GGUCUGAUGUGGACUUGUUCUAGGAAAGACAUUGGCAACAACAACAACAAGAACACAUGCAUACAUACCACACAUAUAAAUAUGUGUGUACACACACACAUGCAGACAAUACACAGAUGCUUGGUUGGAUAGCAAAAUGAAUGCACAGAACAGUAGUUGGCCCUCAGAGGUGGGCUCACUAGCUGUGCACAGGGAUGUUUGAUAAACUAGUUAAACCCUGACAUGAAACCAUGUCUUGUCUGAGAGACUGGCAUGUAGUAUGAGCCUACAUGGGCUGGUCCUGCUGCUGGGUGGAGACCAUCAUUAGAAUGUCAAAGUUCAUUAUAAACAUGCCAUUGAAGUUUAAACUCUGGUGUACACAAGAUGUGACUACUGCCCUGGUCUUAGAUGGGGACACUGGAGCCUGCAGAGCUAUGACAGGCAUCUUUGUAGAGCUUCCCUCAGUAGUUCUCAACCUUCCUAACACUGUGACCCUUUAAUACAGUUCCUCAUAUUGUGGUGACCCCCAACCAUAAAAAACUUCAUAAAUGUAAUUGUGCUAACAUUAUGAAUGGCACAUAUCCGAUAUGGAGGAUAUCUGAUAAGUGACCCCUUUGAAAAGGUCCUUCGAUCUCCAGAGGGAUCAUGAACCACGGGUUGAGAACCUCGUCUCUAGCUCAUGUGGAUGCUCGCCUUGCCCUGGGAUGUACUGAAAAGACAGGGAAUCUGAGAAGGGGAAAGUUGUUCUCAGGAUCACAUAGUGAACAACACAGUGGUGGGAAAGGGCUAGGCCGCGGUGUGCUCUCCCUUCUGCAGUGUGGUGGGUUUUGGUCACAGCAGGUGGGAAAUCUUGGCUCAGAGCCAUUGGGCUCUUCUGUAAGUUCUCUACUCUCUGGAAGGCCUGACCUUGGGAUGUCACCACUCCUGGGUGCAGGAACAUCAGUAGACCUUACCUCCCCUGGGAAUGUCCAGUGGUCUUGCCUCUGUAUCAGGAUGUGGGGGGGCAGGUAUCUUCAGCUCUCAGGAAAGCAUGAUGAAGGCCAUUAGAUUUGCAGCUUGCUGUCCUGAUGGCUGCAGAGGCCAUCUGCAGCUCCCGGAGUCAGGCCAGCCAGGUGAGGCCCCAUCAGGAUGUGCCUGUGCAGUUCUGCAAGAUGAAGAAAAGCAUGAAGAGGAAUGGGGUGGGUUGGGGAUAUUGGUUGAACCUUGUGGUCCAUCCCUCUCCCCCGUUCUGGCUUGUCCCAUGACCCAGUGAGCAGGGUGGUUGGGUGAGUGACCUAGGAUAGUUGAGAAUGGCCCUCAUAGGCAUAUCUAUUUGAACAUGUGGUCACCAGUUGGAAAUGUGGGUCCUUACUGGAGGAGGUGUGUCACCUGGGGUGGCCUUCGAGGUUUCAAAAGCCAACUUCAGGGAUGCUAGAGAGAUGGGUCAGCAGUUGAUUGCUCUUUCAGAGGACUUGGGUUUGAUUCCUGUCACCCACUUAAAACCAUCUAUGGUGCCAGUUCCAGGGGAUUUCAACAGGCACGCACAUGAUGGUGCACAUACAUGCAUAGAGGCAAAACAUUCCAACGCAUAAAGUAAAGCAAAUCCGUACCAAAAACAUUUCCACGUGAGGUCAGUUUGCGGCCUUUCUGCCUCCAACUUGCAGUCCAGGAUGUGAGAUCUCCACCACCAUGCCUGCCUGCUGCCUGUCAUGAUGGCCAUGGACUCUCCUGUCUACAACUGUGAGGCCCCACAAAUGUUUGCUUCUAUCUAAUGUGUUGCUCUUGGCGUCUCUUUAUAGCAAUCAAAAAGUGACGAAGACAGAAGAAGCUGGCAUACAGGUCUCAAGGGUCCAAGUCAGAGCUGCACAGGGGAAGAGAAAGGAGUUUGCCCCACUAUUUACAACAGGCCCCAUCUGGGGCCCUGAGCCAGCCUGGCUUGUGGAGUCCAUGGUUGUGGAGACAGACUCCAGGAAGGCCCUCAACCUCCUGCCAGUGUGAAUGUAGUCCAGCUUGCAAGAGAGAAGGAGCUCCUGUAAUGUCACAGGUCACUCAACAUUGGGGUUGUGACCUUAGACCUGUGCAGGGAGGAGACAUCCUAUAAAGCCUGUCUGUGAACCCAGAGAGUAAAGACUCUCCUCUCAGCCGCCUAUGAAAUCAAGAGAUUCAGUUAAUAGGACAUGUAGGAAACUGCUGUUUGCCCAAAAUUUUGCCUUUUACUGUAAACUUUUUUUAAAAAUAUAUAAGUAUGAAGAGUACACUUCAAAGUAAAAAAGUGACUCCACACUUAUGCCAGGGACAUCCAUGUCUGGCGCUCUGUGUGUCAUGUGACCUUUCCAUGCAUGUCACGUGAUCUUGCCAUGUGUGUAUCACAUGACCUUGCCAUGCUGGUUCAUGUUCUCACACAGCACCCUGACACACAGACAAAGAACUUGUUGCAUUGGGAUGCUGUAGGGGAGGUGCUGAUACUAAGGUCUUGUUGCCCAGUUGGCUCUUGAUCUGUCAGUAAAGAAGCCAUUGGCCAAUUGCUGGGCAGGAGGAAUAGGAGGGACUUCCUGGUCCCUGGAGAAAAAGAGACAGACACAAGGGAGGAGAGUUUGCCAUGCUUUGGAGAGAGAAAAGCCAAGCAGCCACGUGAGGUCUCAGGAGGAGUGGUGGCCUGUGGCAGCUCCUAUAGGUGGGUGGUCAGGGGUGCUUAGCAAGGACUAGAUGUAUAUGAGCCACUAAAGUUUAGGGCAAGUGGAAAGGUGCAGAGAUAAAAUAUUGAUAAGGGCAUGCUUUUCCAGGAGGGAGAUAGUAGCACCCAGUAAUUGUGUCCAAAGGCAAGUUCAAAUUGAACAACUAUAUGUGUAUGAGUCUUUUAUCCAUGAAUUCAAGGGAAACUGGGUGGGAGCUGGUAGCAUGGCCCAUUCCUGGAGCAUAGGCAGGGUAGCAAAAGCUAAAUGAAAUAAGAUGCCACCACAUCAUUGGCCAACAGGAUGCUUUCAUCUUUAAUCCUACCAGACUAGAUUGAAGUUGUGCCUACCUGAGGAUGUGUUCUUGGCUAAGCGUUCAAUGGAAGUAAGACACUGAAAAUAUAUAGCCAUGCUCAGGGAAGGAUCCCCAUUGCACAGAUAGAGAAACUGAGGCUAAAAGAAGGCCUCCUGCUGGCCCAGGUCCAUGCUUGGGGGUGGGGUGGAGUGAGGAUGGAGCUCAGAACCAUGCCCCAGGUUGUGAGGUGUUUCUCUUUCUCUGUUUUGUUCAGUUUAGCAAAUCAGUGUCAGCCACAUAUGAACCACGUGCAAGUCACACAUGAUGCAGACUUCCUAGGGAAGAAACAGAGGAAGCUAAUUUAAUAUAUUUUUAGUUCGAUCAGCACAUAGAUUGUUUAGUUUAAUAGGGACCCACCAUGACAAAUGACCACCAGGCUUUUAGCCUUGAGCAGUUUAUUCUUUCCUGCCCCACAUGGUCCCUAGGCCAGUCUCUCCUGCCCCAUCUGGUCCCUAGACCAGUGCUUCCUGCAUCACAAGGUCCCUAACCCUGUUCUCUUCUUGCUCCACAUGGUCCCUAAGCAUUGAACUCCCACCACUCAGGCUCUGCUGCCUUUACUGCUGAGCCAUGUCACAGCUUGGCCUUUGAACUUUGUUCCCAUUCCGAGUUGAUUUCACACACUUAAGCCAAGUGCACGCCCUUCCCAUGGACAAGGGCUCUGAGCCCCCUGGCUGCCACAUCUGGCUGCACAGCUACAAAGAGAACACACACCUGGAGGUGGAAUGUGGGGUAACUGCCUCCUUCUCCCCCCUCACCUGAGUAUCUUUCUUGCCUCUUCUAUGUGACUCUGCGCCAUGGUCCACGCUGUGAGGAUGGAAUGACAUUUACUCCUCCUGUUGAUGAGCUCUGGGGCUGUGAGCUGUGUUGCUCCAACCUUGGAGGGAGCCAUGGCUAUCUCUGUUCUGGAACUAGGAAAACAGGACAAGGAUGGGAGGUACUACCCUACAAUAUACAGAGUAUCACAGUACUGGAGGUGAACCUAGCUCUUCUGUUGUUUCCAGCCUGUUCACCUUCACCUUCCAUCCUACCUGCCCUCCACCCUUCCUUCCACCCCAUUCCUAGCAGCAGAGAACACACAUGUACACACAUUUACAAGGCAUCUGCUAUGGCCCUUUCCUAUCUGCAGUUGGGUUAUUUGUUUAGUUAUUGUUAGAGUUGCAUGAAUGCAUAUGAAAGUAUGCAAAGGCCCUUGCCAAGUAUUCCAGAGAGAAGGAGGAAGAGGAGGAAGAGGAGGAGUCCAAGAAAGGACGGCUGAAGUUCAGGUGAAGCCCACCUCUUCCAGGCAGCCUUCCCAGGUCAUUCCCCCUCUGCGUGGUGAGUAUAGGUGAUAAGAAUGCUGGAUUCUAUCAUGCUGAAUUUAAAUUCUAGACCCAUAUUUUACCUGUUCUGCACUCUUGACCUCUCACAUGUGAUUUUCUCCCAGUGGACAAGGGGUGGAGUCUGCGGGGAUUUGCAAUCUGUAGGUGGGAGUAACCCAACACAGGCUACCCACACCAGAAGUGUGUCUGCCUCAUCUUUUUAGACUCCCCCAAAUCAGGAAGUUUCCUCCCAUGCCCAGCCACUUCCGUUCUGACUGCUGUGGUUUUAUUUCUAUCUUUGAGAACAUCAGGGACAAAGCCAGCCCUGUUAGUUGCAGGGUUGUUUAUAAAUUAUGGGGAACCGGGGACAUUUUAAUACAAAACUGGGAAGCGUGAGCUCGAAGCAGCUCAGAGAGAGCGCCCCUCCUAUUCCCCUGAUGCCUGGAGCCGAGAGGCGUCCUUGGGGGAUUUAUAUCAAGUGGAAUAUUUAAGGGUAAGGAGCAGAGGUCCUUUUGGCGUUCUCUUUUCGGGGACGUCACCUCGAGCUGUCUUGAAGGAACAUGAGUGACAGAAGCAGGAGGGAUUCGCCAAGAAUCGUCAAUUAUG
rnacentral:lncRNA from 1 species